CGGUGAUAAUGCAUGCGUUGUGUCCUUUACUCCCCUUGGCUGCCCCUCCUCUCGUGGGCACUAGCCUAUAAAUCGUUAUGAAUAAAGCAAUCCUCGUCUUCCAUGAUCCAAUUCCAAUCCUCACAAAUAAUGUAAUUGAGAUAGAGAGGGACUAAGGUAUUAUCGGGUGGGAGAGCGUGAAUGAGAGACGGAAGAUUUGCAAUUGGCAGAGAAGGGGGUGGUUUUAGACGCACGCUAGCGUUGCGCCACCAAAACUUGCAAGAGGAGUGAUGGUGCCACGCUGCGUUCGUCUAAAAUCUUUAACCCCUUGAUUUUCUUUUUCUUUUUCAUAUAAUUAACGCCAAUUGAAGGAAUUCAAACAUCAAACCUGGACUGGAAGAAAAAUGGUGAAGAGCUGAGAUGUUAGCUUUUCCAAAUUUUGUUUGAGUAACUUAUUGUGAUCUUUAUAAUUGCCAAAUGAUUUUUUGUUUUGUUCAAUUAUUUGCUUCUUUAUUUUGAUCAUAUUCUCCUUGUAUUCCUCAUUUUCUUAUGCCAUGCUUUUUCAGUACUCGAGCAUUUUAGCAUGUGCUUCGACACUGGAGUGAAGCCGGUGAUUAUAUAUUUCUAUUUUUUUUAAGAAGGAUUUCAUGCUAAUUUUCUAGCUAAUUAAUUUGAAUCUUGGUUUUGGAAAUUGGAAUAUUACUGUUUAUUUUGAUUUUCAUUGUUCUGGUUCUCUGCAUUUCUAUCUUCCUGUUUUUCUUUUGUGUUAGUUUGACCCUACUAGUCUUUAGUUUCGAUUGGCAAAGUGAAAUGACAGGUCACAUUGACAAGGAAAUGCAAUUUCUGUAAAUAACAGUGGAGCGAUGAUCGUGCCUACCAAGCAGAUAAAAGGUUGGUAGCUGUUUGCUUCUUAUAGCAAGAUAUUAAGGUGCAGAUCAAGACAAACCAAGUCUCGUGUUCUUCGAAGUGUGAACUUUUCAAAGGCCUCGAAUUAAUGGACUCUUGUAAGAAACAGAAAACUUGGCACAAUCUUUGAUGUUACUUCAGAAUUGAACCUGCUACUGCUUCAGCCGCCUAUAAAAGAAGAUGAAAACCUUGCUUUCUCUCUUGCACUGGAAAACGCAUUUUUAUAGCCCUGCAUUUAGUAAAAUAAAAUAAUUUUUUUAUUUCGCCAAUUAACAUGUCAGCAACAAGUUACUUCUAAAUGUCGUGAUAAUAAACUGUAACAUUUAAUUAAAUGUUACAUUUUAAAAUCACAUAUCAAUUAAAUAUCAUAAUUUGAAAUUAUGAUAAGAUUUGAAUUGA